rnacentral:rRNA from 1 species
UACGUAGGGGGCUAGCGUUGUCCGGAUUUAUUGGGCGUAAAGAGCGUGUAGGCGGCCAGGUAGGUCUGCUGUGAAAACUCGAGGCUCAACCUCGAGACGUCGGCGGAAACCAUCUGGCUAGAGUCCGGAAGAGGAGAGUGGAAUUCCUGGUGUAGCGGUGAAAUGCGCAGAUAUCAGGAAGAACACCAAUGGCGAAGGCAGCUCUCUGGGACGGUACUGACGCUGAGACGCGAAAGCGUGGGGAGCGAACAGG